AACGAACGCUGGCGGCAUGCCUAACACAUGCAAGUCGAACGAAGGCUUCGGCCUUAGUGGCGCACGGGUGCGUAACGCGUGGGAAUCUGCCCUUAGGUACGGAAUAACUCAGGGAAACUUGAGCUAAUACCGUAUAAUGACUUCGGUCCAAAGAUUUAUGGCCUGAGGAUGAGCCCGCGUCGGAUUAGCUAGUUGGUGAGGUAAAAGCUCACCAAGGCGACGAUCCGUAGCUGGUCUGAGAGGAUGAUCAGCUACACUGGGACUGAGACACGGCCAAGACUCCUACGGGAGGCAGCAGUGGGGAAUAUUGGACAAUGGGCGAAAGCCUGAUCCAGCAAUGCCGCGUGAGUGAUGAAGGCCUUAGGGUUGUAAAGCUCUUUUACCCGGGAUGAUAAUGUCAGUACCGGGAGAAUAAGCCCCGGCUAACUCCGUGCCAGCAGCCGCCGUAA
rnacentral:rRNA from 1 species